GCGGAUGUAGCUCAGUUGGUAGAGCGUCUGCUUGCCAUGCAGAAGGUCGUGGGUUCGAAUCCCAUCAUCCGCU
rnacentral:tRNA from 1 species